GGGGAUGUGGCUUAAGCUGUAGAGCGCUCGCCUGGCACGUGUGCAAGCCUGGGUUCGAUCCUCAGCACCACA
rnacentral:tRNA from 1 species